CUUUUGCUGGCGACCGGCGCACGGGUGAGUAACACAUAUCCAACCUGCCCUUUACUCGGGGAUAGCCUUUCGAAAGAAAGAUUAAUACCCGAUAGCAUAAUGAUUCCGCAUGGUUUCAUUAUUAAAGGAUUCCGGUAAAGGAUGGGGAUGCGUUCCAUUAGGUUGUUGGUGAGGUAACGGCUCACCAAGCCUUCGAUGGAUAGGGGUUCUGAGAGGAAGGUCCCCCACAUUGGAACUGAGACACGGUCCAA
rnacentral:rRNA from 1 species